rnacentral:piRNA from 1 species
UGAAAAAAAACUUAAAAAAAAAA